rnacentral:rRNA from 1 species
UGGGGAAUAUUGGGCAAUGGGGGCAACCCUGACCCAGCAACGCCGCGUGAGGGAAGAAGGUUUUCGGAUUGUAAACCUCUGUCCUUGGGGACGAAGAAGUGACGGUACCCAAGGAGGAAGCUCCGGCUAACUACGUGCCAGCAGCCGCGGUAAUACGUAGGGAGCGAGCGUUGUCCGGAAUUACUGGGCGUAAAGGGUGCGUAGGCGGUUUGGUAAGUCAGAUGUGAAAUACCCGGGCUUAACCCGGGGGCUGCAUCUGAUACUGUCAGACUUGAGUGCAGGAGAGGAAAGCGGAAUUCCUAGUGUAGCGGUGAAAUGCGUAGAUAUUAGGAGGAACACCAGUGGCGAAGGCGGCUUUCUGGACUGUAACUGACGCUGAGGCACGAAAGCGUGGGGAGCAAACAGGAUUAGAUACCCUGGUAGUCCACGCCGUAAACGAUGGAUACUAGGUGUAGGCAUCAUAAGAUGUCUGUGCCGCAGCAAACGCAUUAAGUAUCCCGCCUGGGGAGUACGACCGCAAGGUUGAAACUCAAAGGAAUUGACGGGGGCCCGCACAAGCAGCGGAGCAUGUGGUUUAAUUCGAAGCAACGCGAAGAACCUUACCAAGGCUUGACAUCCUCUGACCGCCAUAGAGAUAUGGCUUCCCUUCGGGGCAGAGGGACAGGUGGUGCAUGGUUGUCGUCAGCUCGUGUCGUGAGAUGUUGGGUUAAGUCCCGCAACGAGCGCAACCCCUGCCAUUAGUUGCUACGCAAGAGCACUCUAAUGGGACCGCUACCGACAAGGUGGAGGAAGGUGGGGACGACGUCAAAUCAUCAUGCCCCUUAUGACCUGGGCCACACACGUACUACAAUGGCUGUAAACAGAGGGAAGCAAAACCGCGAGGCAGAGCAAACCCCUAAAAAUGGUCCCAGUUCGGAUUGUGGGCUGCAACCCGCCUACAUGAAGUUGGAAUUGCUAGUAAUCGCGGAUCAGCAUGCCGCGGUGAAUACGUUCCC